rnacentral:rRNA from 1 species
GAUGAACGCUGGCGGCGUGCCUAAUACAUGCAAGUCGAGCGAACAGACGAGGAGCUUGCUCCUCUGAUGUUAGCGGCGGACGGGUGAGUAACACGUGGAUAACCUACCUAUAAGACUGGGAUAACUUCGGGAAACCGGAGCUAAUACCGGAUAACAUUUUGAACCGCAUGGUUCAACAGUGAAAGACGGUCUUGCUGUCACUUAUAGAUGGAUCCGCGCGGCAUUAGCUAGUUGGUAAGGUAACGGCUUACCAAGGCAACGAUGCGUAGCCGACCUGAGAGGGUGAUCGGCCACACUGGAACUGAGACACGGUCCAGACUCCUACGGGAGGCAGCAGUAGGGAAUCUUCCGCAAAGGGCGAAAGCCUGACGGAGCAACGCCGCGUGAGUGAAGAAGGUCUUCGGAUCGUAAAACUCUGUUAUUAGGGAAGAACAAAUGUGUAAGUAACUAUGCACGUCUUGACGGUACCUAAUCAGAAAGCCACGGCUAACUACGUG